rnacentral:snRNA from 1 species
GUUCCAUGUUCAGCAGCACAUAUACCAAAAUUGGAAUGACACAGAGAAGAUUAGCAUGGCCCCUGCGCAAGGAUGACACACAAAAUUCAUGAAGCAUUCCUUAUUUAA